rnacentral:rRNA from 1 species
CGCGUAGGCGGUUUGGUUAGUUAGGCGUGAAAUUCCUGGGCUCAACCUGGGGGCUGCGCUUAAUACAGCCAGACUAGAGUGUGAAAGAGGGUCGUGGAAUUCCCAGUGUAGAGGUGAAAUUCGUAGAUAUUGGGAAGAACACCGGUGGCGAAGGCGGCGACCUGGUUCAUUACUGACGCUGAGGCGCGAAAGCGUGGGGAGCAAACA